CCAAAUCCCUAAUCAAAAUAAACGAUCAACUCCCAUUUCAACCCCAAGCUUCUUUAUCAAUAUUAUCACGUAUAUUGGUAGUGAAGGUUCGAUUUGAAGUCUUCUUCUCAUUUUUGCUCUUUCUUCAUCUAGUAAAGGAAUUUGGAAUAAUUCUUGACUACACAGAUGAACUGUGAAAGACCAAGCCUGAGAGUACUUGUGUUGUUAAACUUGGUGAACCUGAUGCAUUAGUAGACCUGUUUUUCAUAGCUUUCACAUAUGUUUGGAGGCAUUGAAGAAGGCAUUUUUGCAUCGUAGGAAAUGUAUAGGUUUAAAUGGGUGUUUCUUAAAAGGGGUUUGUAAAAGGCAGUUGUUGGUUGCAGUGUGUAAGGAUGGUAAUAACCAAAUGCUGCCUCUUGCAUGGGCAGUAGUUGAGUAUGAAAACAAGAAUACAUGGACUUGGUUUGUCAGAAUUCUGAGGGAAGAUUUUGUACUUGGAGAUGGGGCAGACUUAACCUUGAUAACAGAUAUGCAAAAGGGACUGUUUGUAACAAUUCAAGAUUUUUUACCUGCUGCUGAGCACGUAAAAGUGUGCUAGGCACAUCUUGGCUAACUUUUGUAAGGAUUAGAGAGGGCUUCAAAGAAGACAACAGAUUUAGAAAAUUGCAAAGAGAACUUUUGAGUCCCAAUUGAGAAGAAAUAUUGACAAGAUGAAGUUUCUUGGUCCAAGAAGAAUGAUGGAUGCCCUGAUGUACCACAACAUAGAGUGUUGGUGUAAGGUGUACUUCAACACCGAAGUUAAAUGUUAUUUUGUAAACAACAAUAUGUCUGAGUGUUUUAAUGCAUGACUCUUGCCUGCUAGGAAUGUGUACUGGUUUAAUUUUUUAAU